AUUGAACGCUGGCGGCAGGCCUAACACAUGCAAGUCGAACGGUAACAGGAAGCAGCUUGCUGCUUCGCUGACGAGUGGCGGCCGGGUGAGUAAUGUCUGGGAAGCUGCCUGAUGGAGGGGGAUAACUACUGGAAACGGUAGCUAAUACCGCAUAAUGUCGCAAGACCAAAGAGGGGGACCUUCGGGCCUCUUGCCAUCGGAUGUGCCCAGAUGGGAUUAGCUUGUUGGUGGGGUAACGGCUCACCAAGGCGACGAUCCCUAGCUGGUCUGAGAGGAUGACCGGCCACACUGGGACUGAGACACGGUCCAGACUCCUACGGGAGGCAGCAGUGGGGAAUAUUGCACAAUGGGCGCAAGCCUGAUGCAGCCAUGCCGCGUGUAUGAAGAAGGCCUUCGGGUUGUAAAGUACUUUCAGCGGGGAGGAAGGGAGUAAAGUUAAUACCUUUGCUCAUUGACGUUACCCGCAGAAGAAGCACCGGCUAACUCCGUG
rnacentral:rRNA from 1 species